rnacentral:rRNA from 1 species
UACGUAGGGGGCUAGCGUUGUUCGGAAUUACUGGGCGUAAAGCGCGCGUAGGCGGACCUGCAAGUCGGGGGUGAAAGCCCGAGGCUCAACCUCGGAACUGCCUUCGAUACUGCGGGUCUCGAGUCCGGGAGAGGUGAGUGGAAUUCCUAGUGUAGAGGUGAAAUUCGUAGAUAUUGGGAGGAACACCGGUGGCGAAGGCGGCUACCUGGACCGGUACUGACGCUGAGGCGCGAAAGCUAGGGUAGCAAACAGG